GACGAACGCUGGCGGCGUGCUUAACACAUGCCAGUCGAACGGAAAGGCCCUGCUUUUGUGGGGUGCUCGAGUGGCGAACGGGUGAGUAACACGUGAGUAACCUGCCCUUGACUUUGGGAUAACUUCAGGAAACUGGGGCUAAUACCGGAUAGGAGCUCCUGCUGCAUGGUGGGGGUUGGAAAGUUUCGGCGGUUGGGGAUGGACUCGCGGCUUAUCAGCUUGUUGGUGGGGUAGUGGCUUACCAAGGCUUUGACGGGUAGCCGGCCUGAGAGGGUGACCGGCCACAUUGGGACUGAGAUACGGCCCAGACUCCUACGGGAGGCAGCAGUGGGGAAUAUUGCACAAUGGGCGGAAGCCUGAUGCAGCAACGCCGCGUGCGGGAUGACGGCCUUCGGGUUGUAAACCGCUUUCGCCUGUGACGAAGCGUGAGUGACGGUAAUGGGUAAAGAAGCAGCGGCUAACUACGUG
rnacentral:rRNA from 1 species